rnacentral:rRNA from 1 species
UUGUCUCAAAGAUUAAGCCAUGCAUGUCUCAGUACAAGCCGAAUUAAGGUGAAACCGCGAAAGGCUCAUUAAAUCAGUUAUGGUUCCUUAGAUCGUACCCACAUUUACUUGGAUAACUGUGGUAAUUCUAGAGCUAAUACAUGCAAACAGAGCUCCGACCGGAGACGGAAGGAGUGCUUUUAUUAGAUCAAAGCCAAUCGGCGGCGGGCGCGUUCGCGUGUCCGUUCGCCGCUCAACCUGGUGACUCUGAAUAACUUUCGGCUGAUCGCACGGUCUCGCACCGGCGACGCAUCUUUCAAAUGUCUGCCUUAUCAACUGUCGAUGGUAGGUUCUGCGCCUACCAUGGUCGUAACGGGUAACGGGGAAUCAGGGUUCGAUUCCGGAGAGGGAGCCUGAGAAACGGCUACCACAUCCAAGGAAGGCAGCAGGCGCGCAAAUUACCCACUCCCGGCACGGGGAGGUAGUGACGAAAAAUAACGAUACGGGACUCAUCCGAGGCCCCGUAAUCGGAAUGAGUACACUUUAAAUCCUUUAACGAGGAUCAAUUGGAGGGCAAGUCUGGUGCCAGCAGCCGCGGUAAUUCCAGCUCCAAUAGCGU